UACGGAGGAUCCAAGCGUUAUCCGGAAUUACUGGGCGUAAAGAGUUGCGUAGGUGGCAUAGCAAGCAGAUAGUGAAAGCGUGUGGCUCAACCAUACAUACAUUAUCUGAACUGUUAAGCUAGAGGACGAGAGAGGUACCUGGAAUUCCCAGUGUAGGAGUGAAAUCCGUAGAUAUUGGGAGGAACACCGAUGGCGUAAGCAGGGUACUGGCUCGUUCCUGACACUCAGGCACGAAAGCGUGGGGAGCAAACGGG
rnacentral:rRNA from 1 species